GCUCGGGUUCGGGCGCUCCUCCUGGUUAAGCUGUCAGCCUCCUUCGACGGCGCGGGGUAACUCCUAAUUGAGGAGUGCGCAACGUCAAGCCUUCCCACGGUUUUUCGUGCUUUCACAUGACCACUGCUUGUAUGUUGUGCAAAAUCCAAAACGUAGAGCGGAGCUGUAUGGUGCAGGGACUUUUUCCACCCACGAAGAAAUCUUUUAUGGUGCAUCUCCUAUGUGCCAGGCACCGAAAGAAAUAGGUUUCAUUAAUCUACUUCAGGCGUUGACAAACAUUUUCCGUAAAGAGCCAGACAAGUUCUUCCCCUCAGACUCAUAGAGUUCAAGGCAUACUGAAGAUAUACUUCCGGGGGCUUGUAAUGUGUGUUGUCUUCGAGCCGGCAAAGGAGUCCCUGAUGGGAACAGUACUGUGAAGCUUUUGGCUCCUGAUUCAUCGACUCCCUAAUAAGCAGAAAAAUAAUAUAUGUAUCCUUUGAUAUUUACCAUUACAAUUAUAAAGCCAUUCCUAUUAUAAAUGUAAUACUUAUUCCUGACAACAUAGGCAAAGAACACAGAAAUUGAUCCUGAAUCCCAACCUACUUCACUUAACAAUAAAUUGAAACAUGUAUCCCUCUA